rnacentral:rRNA from 1 species
AGACGGAGGGGGCUAGCGUUGUUCGGAAUUACUGGGCGUAAAGCGCGCGUAGGCGGUCCGUUUAGUUAGGCGUGAAAGGCCUGGGCUCAACCCGGGAACUGCGCUUAAUACUGGUAGGCUUGAGUCCGGGAGAGGGUGGCGGAAUCCCCAGUGUAGAGGUGAAAUUCGUAGAUAUUGGGAAGAACACCAGUGGCGAAGGCGGCCACCUGGCCCGGUACUGACGCUGAGGUGCGAAAGCGUGGGGAGCAAACAGGAUUAGAAACCCCAGUAGUCC